rnacentral:rRNA from 1 species
GACGAACGCUGGCGGCGUGCUUAACACAUGCAAGUCGAACGGAAAGGCCCUGCUUUUGUGGGGUGCUCGAGUGGCGAACGGGUGAGUAACACGUGAGUAACCUGCCCUUGACUUUGGGAUAACUUCAGGAAACUGGGGCUAAUACCGGAUAGGAGCUCCUGCUGCAUGGUGGGGGUUGGAAAGUUUCGGCGGUUGGGGAUGGACUCGCGGCUUAUCAGUUUGUUGGUGGGGUAGUGGCUUACCAAGGCUUUGACGGGUAGCCGGCCUGAGAGGGUGACCGGCCACAUUGGGACUGAGAUACGGCCCAGACUCCUACGGGAGGCAGCAGUGGGGAAUAUUGCACAAUGGGCGGAAGCCUGAUGCAGCAACGCCGCGUGCGGGAUGACGGCCUUCGGGUUGUAAACCGCUUUCGCCUGUGACGAAGCGUGGGUGACGGUAAUGGGUAAAGAAGCACCGGCUAACUACGUG